CUGGGGCAGCAGUUUGCUGCUAGAAGCUGAGGAGGCAAUAUCUGACUGAACUGCUGUUCAGAACAUCUUGGCGGAGCUGAGAUUGGGUCUGCUGCAUGGUAACUCAUAGCACUACGUCUCCACCCCAGCUCAACAAAACUCUUUUUGCAGUCUCUUCAAUGAACCUGUGCUACAAGGAGAAUUAAGGAAUACCACAGCAGGUGAGAAAGAAACUGCUGGGACAAGAGUGGAAAGGUGGAAAUGCCAGAAAAGAAGACUGGAAAUGAAGAAGAGAACAUGGCCCAGAAUUCCUGUUUGGAGCAGCCUAGUAAGAGCCAGUAUUUGUCAGGCAUUGUGUGAAGUGUGACAUGGGGUUUCAGGCAGAUUUCAGAAUUUGCAAAGUACACUGUAGAUAAAAAGUUUCUGUCAACUGGGAAGGGAACUGGGAAUCUGUCAGUGGAAGAAGAAAAGUUAGAUCAAGUACUGUAUGGAGAGAGAAGGUGGGCAGGGACUAGCUGAGCUCCAAGUAUAACUUUCCAUGUGGAGGAACAGAAUGUGGACUUGCCAGUAAAGGAGAUUAUUGGUGGAUGUUGAAUAGGCUUUUGACUGUGAAUACCCAUGGGGCCCUGGCUGGCCACACACCUAACAAGUGCACAAGGACAGCUUUGAUCCUAACAUGACCAUCAUUUUGGAGAAAGGAAUGAGGGUUAUUUAAAAUACUAAAUCUGGAAUUUAGGGAUAUAUGUAAAUGAAAGAUAUUCCUAUUGUAGUUCAGCAACAAACUUACUCUUGUGUUUCUUCUACAGAGCAACUGUCAGAUAAUGGCUGCUGAGCUCAUGUUUUAAGGUCAAUUACUUAUUCUUUGUAAAGCCAGGCAAGACACAUACACAAUAUAUUCUCCAAAAUAAGCAUACUUAAUAUGACUUGGUAAUAACAUGAGAGAAAACUAUCUCAAAGUUUAGAUUUAUCCAAAUGAUUAAUCUGACCAAAACAUGGGCACUACACUUAAUAACUACACAGAAACAAACGGAAAGUCUCUUGACUUUUGUCAAAUGACAUCUGGGCUGUGGGAUGCUAGAAAUGAAAUUUUCAUUGCAGCUCACUGAUUGAAAGAGAAUGUCACAGCUGACUCAGUUACUGUAGUGCAAACAACUUAACACAAGAUCAUCUAGUGAUAUGUCUGAGGAAUGGGAAAAUUCUUACAUACAGGUGCACUACUCACAUAUUCCAGGCCAGAAAUUCUUGAAUUUUCAUCUAAUUCAGGGGUGCUCAACCUCCAGCCCACAGGCCAAAUGCAACCCAUGGAGCCAUGGAAUCCAGUCCAUGGGGCUUCCCAUAGGUCAGGAAAUUUGGUGAGAGGGGAGCAGUGGCAAAUAAUACUGCCACCCUUCCCCACUGCCAAAUUCCCAAGCCCCCUGUGGCUAGACCAUAGCUGAGCCAUGCCCCCUUCUCCUAUGCAGCUGGAUUGGGACCAAGCCACUCCUUGACCCUCCCCCUCCCAUUCCCCCUGGUCAAAUCAGGCCAAGCAUAGCCACCCUAAGAUGGGAUCAGGCUCUCUGGCCAGAUCCAGUUUAUGACUAGAGACUGAGUGCUGUCCAUCUCACCCAAGUAGAAAGAAGGCUGGGCACCACUGAUCUAAUUCAUCCACUGAAAAAGUGAUAGGUUUAAAAAAAAAGUUUACCCUAUGUGAUACUUAAAUCCCAUUAUAAAAAGCUACUUAACUACCUAACAGUAUGUCUACACCGCAUACUGAAGCAAAGUAUAGAGUUACCAGAAGUGAACUGGUUUGAAUACUAAAAGCAGUCCAGCUGAAGUCUCAUGGAGCUGUGCUCAGAGUCAUUUUUCCUGCAGUGUGCAAUGUAGAUAUAUCUUAAGUCUCACUGCCUUUUAAUCUGAUGCUUUGGUCCUUCUAAAAGAUGAACCUGUCUCUGCUAAGUGAGACCAUGUGUUUGCCAUUGUGUACAAUAGUGUCUUGUCAGUGAUUACAGAAAUAAACAUUUAGCCCCUGUACCAUAGUUAUAACCUAGUAUCAUUCUAGGCUUGACCCUGGCCCUCUACCAGCUGCUCUUUACUUCUGCUCAGAUACUGCAUAACAGCCAGAAAUCUGCCCUAACAGAGUGGCAGGGGAUUCCUCUGACAUGAGGGAAAUCUCAGAAGUGUACAGCUGGACUAGCAAAAGUUGGAUUUCUAACAGUGAUGUCUUGCAUGUUAUUCAGUUGUUUUGUAACAUUCUAGAAUGGUUUAUUUAAUGUUUUGCCAUGUGACUCUCUGGUGGCUCAUUUCAAACCGUAACUGGCUUGAUAGACAUGGACCUUCAUCAGGAACACAGCUACCUAGAAGUUUAUCCAAGAAGUUCAGCCUGUCAUCCACAGUUCUAAUCAUGGUAACUGGUUCCCCUGUGAAUAUCCACAUUCACUUGGCAGAGAAAUCAGACUGCGUUUGCUAUGAUACAUUGCAUCCAAGACUAGAAAUAUUGCAGCUCCUCCAUCCUUAGUGAUCAUCUUUCCAAUUAUUAAUAAAGAGGUUG